AACUCUGAGACGUGAUACCGAGCCGCUUCAGGCGAAGUCAUUGAUCCUAUGCUGCCUAGAAAAGCCCAGCAGCGAGUUGACAUGGUGCCCGUACCCCAAACCAACACAGGUGGACAGGUAGAGCAUACCAAGGCGAGUGGGAUAACUAUGGUUAAGGAACUCGGCAAAUUGCCUCCGUAACUUCGGGAGAAGGAGGACCCCAGUAGCGUGAUGAGACUUGCUCUCUGAGCGUGAAGGGGUGGCACAAAAUUGAGGGAAGCGACUGUUUACCAAAAACACAGCAGCGUGCUAAGCCGUAAGGCGCUGUAUACGCUGUGACUCCUGCCCGGUGCUGGAAGGUUACGGGGAUGGGUUAGUCCUUCGGGACGAAGCUCUGAACCUAAGCCCCAGUAAACGGCGGCCGUAACUAUAACGGUCCUAAGGUAGCGAAAUUCCUUGUCGGGUAAGUUCCGACCUGCACGAAUGGAGUAACGACUUCCCUACUGUCUCAACCAUAGACCCAGCGAAAUUGAAGUACGAGUAAAGAUGCUCGUUAGCUGCAGAAGGACGGAAAGACCCCGUGGACCUUUACUAUAACUUGAUGUUGUGUUUUGUCAUAUGUUGUGUAGGAUAGGUGGGAGACUUGGAAGCAUGGACGCUAGUCUGUGUGGAGUCAUCGUUGAAAUACCACCCUGCACAUGGUGAGGCUCUAACCUAGACCCGUUAUCCGGGUUGGGGACAGCGUCAGGCGGGUAGUUUAACUGGGGCGGUUGCCUCCUAAAGAGUAACGGAGGCGCCCAAAGGUUCCCUCAGCCUGGUUGGCAAUCAGGCGUUGAGUGCAAUGGCAAAAGGGAGCUUGUCUGCGAGACCUACAAGUCGAGCAGGAGCGAAAGCUGGGCAUAGUGAUCCGGCGGUUGCGUGUGGAAGCGCCGUCGCUCAACGGAUAAAAGGUACCCCGGGGAUAACAGGCUAAUCUUGCCCAAGCGUCCAUAGCGACGGCAAGGUUUGGCACCUCGAUGUCGGCUCAUCGCAUCCUGGGGCUGAAGCAGGUCCCAAGGGUUGGGCUGUUCGCCCAUUAAAGCGGUACGCGAGCUGGGUUCAGAACGUCGUGAGACAGUUCGGUCCCUAUCCUCUGCAGCCGGAGGUGAAUUGAGGAAAGCUGUCCCUAGUACGAGAGGACCGGGACGGACGCAGCUCUCGUGUGCCAGUUGUCCUGCCAAGGGCAUGGCUGGUUAGCGACCUGCGGAAAGGAUAACCGCUGAAAGCAUCUAAGCGGGAAGCCUCUUCCAAGAUGAAUUCACCCACAGGGCUAACCUGGUAAGGCCCGUGGUAGACCACCACGUUGAUAGGCCGGAAGUGUAAGCGUGGCAACACGUUCAGCUGACCGGUACUAAUCGGCCGAGGGCUUGACC
rnacentral:rRNA from 1 species